rnacentral:rRNA from 1 species
AAAACGAACGGAAGAACGACCCGCGAACCGUCCCCACCUACCGAACGGAGGUCGCGAGCCGAAACGCUCGCGUCCCUCGCGUCGCGUCGGCGCGGGCCUUCCCCGGAGGCCGGCGUCGUCCCGACAAACGAACAUCGUCAGCACGAAUCGUGCCAAGGACCCGUAAAAGGCGAGAAUCGCCGUCCCCGGCCCCCGGUCGUUCUCGGCGGGGGGCGCGGGACGCGCGCGAUCUCUGCUCUAAGUCUUUAAUGACUCUCGGCAACGGAUAUCUCGGCUCUUGCAUCGAUGAAGAACGUAGCGAAAUGCGAUACUUGGUGUGAAUUGCAGAAUCCCGCGAACCAUCAAUUCUUUGAACGCAAGUUGCGCCCGAAGCCAUUUGGCCGAGGGCACGCCUGCCUGGGCGUCGUGAAUCCCCUUGCCCCCCGGAACCCGCGCGAGCAUCGUCGCGGGUUUUCCCGGGCGCAGAAUAUGGUCUCCCGUCGCAUCGGCGUGCGCGGCACGCCGUGGUACGGUUGGCCGAAAAUCGAGCAUUGCGACGUCGGGCUGCACGGCGCUAGGUGGAUCGAACGCGAUUGGCUGCGCCGUGGUCCCGUCGUGCCGCGGGCUCAGGACUAGGACGGUUCCCCAGUGCGAUCC